UCUCACGUUUUUGAGGUCCCUCUCUCUCUAAACCUAAUACACCGUCGACGUCACCAACAGUGCAGGGAGUCACCGUCGUCGUCGUCCACACCCAGAACCGCCGCUGCCGUCGCCAGUUAUCAUCAACAUUUGAGGGUCAGGAUUGAUAAAGAAGAAAGGUUUUAAAGGAUCCUUUGGGGAAGCAGCAGUUUCGGCAAAGAUAUUUAUUUUCAGUUGUGUGUAGCCUGUGUCCAAUAUGAAUUUCUGUAGAACAAUGCCAAAUUUCAAACUGCAAGAAAACAGUUGCAAUAAUCCAUAUUGUCUAAAUUUCCUUCUUCCAUGAUGAACUAGUUGUCCCAAACUGUUUCUUAUGUUAAAUUAUAAGCUUGAAUCACAUUAUUUCCUAGACUAAGAUUUGUGAUACUAGCUUUUCCUGAUAUUGUAUUAAUUGUGAACCAAUGCUGCACCAUCUUAUCCCCUAAGAGUUCCAUUUAGAUCAUUAAAGGAUUGCAUUUUCGUUUGGAAUAGGCAAUGUUCCAGUGCAAGUUUUGACUACCUAGUACCUUACUUCUGUUUGUAGAUCUAGAUGAAGUGCAUUACUGAUCAGUGGGAGCUUUUUAGUAGGUGGUUCAUCAAAUGGGCUUAAAUUAUUAAAUUAAUUUGUUAAGAAGGGUACCUAGCAUGCAAAUGUGGUGUUAUUCCUCAAAAGUAUUAGAUUGAAUGGUCAAGGCAUUAUGUGUUAGCAUAUGAUUUCUGUAUUAUUACAAGGACUUGGUAUUUGCUAUGAGCCUGUGAUGUAGUAAGAGAUGAUGAUCCCCAUUCCAAAUAAAUCACCAUAUUUUCUCUUUCUUCUGAUUUACUCUUAUGGAAAGUUAGUAUCUUAACAUAUUGGUUUUCUGUAGUUAGUGAUCUUGCAAAUAACUAAAAUAUAUGUGGAAAGGUUAGUCUAUGUUGCUCUUUCCCAUAUCAUUUUUUUCAUAAGGUAAUUUAAUUAAAAAAACAGUACCAAGUUGGUACUGCAGCUGACUCUCCAGUAUCAUUGACCAAGAUGAUCUUUGCAUUUAGUUUUUAACUGCACAAUUAUAACUGGAGCAACAACUGCCAGUGGAUAUUCCUAUGUAAGAUCAAUCUCCCAAGUAUGCAAAGGACUAUGUUUUCAGUAUCAAUACAAGUAAAAACUAUACUAAAGUUGAACUAUCAGCAAAGACCAUAGAGUAUAUAGCCCACAGUUACGACCUAAUGAAAUCCGGAAUAACAAUGUAAAAGUAGCCUUUAUGCAGCUAUUCAUAUGCCUUUGCUGGUGCACAAAACAUUCAAAGUCCCAGAAAAAUAAAAGUUUUGGGGAGGAAAAAAGGCAAUACCGUAUGUUUACUGGUUGACACUGGUGUUUCUAGCAGUCUCACCUUCUCCUUGUUUACUUGGUUCAUGUUCCUUUUGUCUUCUCCAUUUUCCUUUUCCAGAUAAUGUUUUUCUAUUCAAGUGGUAUGUUCCGUUUGGUACGUAUUACCAUUAACAUUUUUCCUUUUCCUUUUGAUGUAACAGCGUUCAGUGAGGAACUGCUUCAUCAGAGGAUCAGUGGUGAGAUACGUCCAGUUACCUCCAGAUGGAGUCGACAUAGAGCUGCUUCAUGAUGCUACGAGGAGAGAAGCUCGUGGUGGAUAAAAUCUGAGACUUUCAAAAGUGGAUGUACUUUAACAAAAGAUUUUGAGUGGGUAAUCAGCAUGUACUGAUUGUCUUUGUUAAAUGUAUUUUCAGAUGCUAUUGCAUGCAGUGCUUCCUAUUCUGCUUUUCCUCCUCUCCA